CCGAAGUUCACCCAAUAAACUACUGUUCCAACAUGUCUGUGCUCACCUCCGCUCAGUAUUGCCACCCGCAGACCAUAAAAAACCAGUUGCCUCCUCCAAUCCAAUCCUGUCUUCUCUAGAUCUCUAGAAGGGAGUUUCGAGUGCCAACUAUUAUAUUGAAUUGGGCGGCAGCAGAUUUGGGUCCUAAUUCCUAAUAUCUCCUCUCCCUCAUCGCUCUUUCUAACACACACCGCAAACAUUCUGUUCCAGGAGGCAUACACGAAUGCCAAAUAGUGAACAACGCACCGACCCGAACUAUGCGGGACCAACUGCUCGGCAUUGAUUGCUACACGAAAUGUAGGAUCAACUCCUACAGUCGAGAGAGGAACAAACUGAACCAAGACUCGAAGACAGAAAAUGAGAGUGAAGGUCCUUUUUUUAUGUAGGAGCUAAUUUAAUAUUUGUUUGUGUAUGUGUUAAGUUUGUCUUGAAUUCUUCACCCGUUUUGGAGAUUGACCCGAUCCGACAUAUUUUGGUGGCGACCCGAAUGGGAAUCUUUCUGAGAUUUGUGAUGGAAGCAGAGGGGUUGGGCC